rnacentral:lncRNA from 1 species
GACUGUCGGGAAGAAGAUAAACCCCUGCAAACUCGGACGGAGAAGCGGAAGCAGCGGAGGGUUUAAGGUGACGAGAUUGGAGAGAUAGAGAGAGAAGGACGAGGUUGUCGGAGCGGGAAAUGAAGCGGAAUCAAUCGUUGCCUCACUCUCUUCCCUUCUCUUAUCAUCUCCCGAGCGCUCUCACGUGCCGCGUGCCCUCCUCACGUGCAUCGAACCUUGUGAAGUCGAUCUCUUUUGUUCUAGUCUAUUUAUUCGCAC